GGACCCGCACAAGCAGCGGAGCAUGUGGUUUAAUUCGACGCAACGCGAAGAACCUUACCAAGGCUUGACAUCCUCUGACAGGUGUGGAAACACACUUUCCCUUCGGGGCAGAGAGACAGGUGGUGCAUGGUUGUCGUCAGCUCGUGUCGUGAGAUGUUCGGUUAAGUCCGGCAACGAGCGCAACCCUUAUGAACAGUUGCCAAUAUUAAGUUAGGAACUCUGUUCAGACUGCCGUGGAUUAACACGGAGGAAGGCGGGGAUGACGUCAAAUCAUCAUGCCCCUUACGCCUUGGGCUACACACGUGCUACAAUGGGCAUUACAAAGAGCAGCAAGCUGGUAACAGUGAGCGAAUCUCAAAAAGGUGCUCUCAGUUCAGAUUGUGGGCUGCAACCCGCCCACAUGAAGAAGGAGUUGCUAGUAAUCCCGAAUCAGAAUGUCGGGGUGAAUGCGUUCCCGGGUCUU
rnacentral:rRNA from 1 species